AACGGGUGAGUAAUAAUCGGAACGUGCCCAGUCGUGGGGGAUAACUACGCGAAAGCGUGGCGAAUACCGCAUACGAUCUAC
rnacentral:rRNA from 1 species